UAAGACUAUAAUUUAUAAUUAAAAUAUAUGAGUUGCAUUCAUAAAAAGUUUCUAAAAACUAGUUUUAU
rnacentral:tRNA from 1 species